rnacentral:rRNA from 1 species
CCUACGGGCGGCAUCAGUGAGGAAUAUUGGUCAAUGGACGAGAGUCUGAACCAGCCAAGUAGCGUGAAGGAUGACUGCCCUAUGGGUUGUAAACUUCUUUUAUAUGGGAAUAAAGUGUUCCACGUGUGGGAUUUUGUAUGUACCAUAUGAAUAAGGAUCGGCUAACUCCGUGCCAGCAGCCGCGGUAAUACGGAGGAUCCGAGCGUUAUCCGGAUUUAUUGGGUUUAAAGGGUGCGUAGGGGGAAGGCCAAGUCAGCGUUAAAAUCGCGGGGCUCAACCUCACUUCGCAGUUGAAACUGGCGUUCUUGAGUGGGCUAGAAGUAUGCGGAAUGCGUGGUGUAGCGGUGAAAUGCUUAGAUAUCACGAAGAACUCCGAUUGCGAAGGCAGCAUACCGGCGCCCAACUGACGCUGAAGCACGAAAGCGUGGGUAUCGAACAGGAUUAGAUACCCCGGUAGUC